rnacentral:rRNA from 1 species
AAUGAACGCUAGCGGCAGGCUUAACACAUGCAAGUCGAGGGGUAUUGGUUUUCGGACCAAGAGACCGGCGCACGGGUGCGUAACGCGUAUGCAAUCUACCUUUUGCAGAGGGAUAGCCCCAGAGAAAUUUGGAUUAAUACCUCAUAGUAUAGUACUUUGGCAUCAAGGAACUAUUAAAGUCACAACGGCAAAGAUGAGCAUGCGUCCCAUUAGCUAGUUGGUAAGGUAACGGCUUACCAAGGCUACGAUGGGUAGGGGUUCUGAGAGGGAGAUCCCCCACACUGGUACUGAGACACGGACCAGACUCCUACGGGAGGGCAGCAGUGAGGAAUAUUGGACAAUGGGCGCAAGACCUGAUCCAGCCA